rnacentral:tRNA from 1 species
UAGCUCGGUCAGUUAGAGUGUGGUGCUGAUAACACCAAGGUCACGGGUUCGGUUCCCGU